GGAAGAGUGAAAGUCGGAGCAGCUCCGAGGCCACUCUACACAUACCUCAGGGGUUAAGUAGGGUCCAGAAAGGGGGAGCACAAGUGUGGGUUAAAGCCACCUCUUCCCAUCUCUGUGUCUGUCUGUAGCCAAAUAUGGAGACCCGGGGAUCAAAGUAUCCUCUCUACAGAUCAGGCUACAGCAUGUCCAAACUCCUCUCCCCGCCACCCAUAGGCACUUCCAAAAAGUUCCAGCUCAGGCAAUGUGUGCCCUGAAAUCUUCCUGCUCUCACUGGUCUCUGUUUUCUUCCCCCCAUGCAGUGGGAUUUGGUGUGUGAGUCCAGGACACUCCAGCAAAUGUUGCAGUCGCUCUACAGGGCUGGAACAGCAGGAGGGCUGCAGUUCGCACUUGAGGGGCAUCGGCAGAAGUGUACUGGGAUAACGUCAUGCAUUCAAAUUAAUUCCUAACCCUGAAUUUUGGUUCAAGCACUCUCCAUUGCAAACAGUGCUUACAGGGAACCGAGAUCACCAAAGUAGGAGAAAUGGGUGCCAUAUGGUGCAAUCAUAUCAGCCUCCAACUUCCCUGCCCUGGACCAACUUCCCGAUCUCCCCACUCCCCUAUUAACUCUGUUCUCUGUGCUGCAGGUUUGGCCGGAAAGCCCUCCUGAUCUGGUGCAACCUGCAAAUGGCGGUAACAGGCAUCUGUGCUGCUUUCUCCCCCAACUUCACCACAUUCUGCGUCUUCCGCUUCCUCACCGGCCUGGCCAUUUCUGGCAUCUCGGUCAAUUCUGUCUCACUGUGUAAGUAGGCUCUUCAGGUCUGAAUGAUCCCGGCAGACUAGUUACUCUCCAGCCAAUCUUAUAAAGGUGCCUCUGAUAGCACCGGACACCUGGUGUCUGCUCCUGGGAGAACCAGGACAGAACAAAAUUCACUCUGUGUAGUGGGCCCAGCACAAGCGUAUGCGCCACUUUUGUUUGGUCAGUUGAAACAUGUUGUUUAUCUUUCAACCAUUUUGUAUUUUCCAAACAUUUUUUUACUAUACUUAGCUCAAAUUUCUAAACAAAAAGUAAUUUUACACUGAAAAACUGAAAUUUGUCAUCUCCAAUUUUUCAUCUUCAAAUCUUUUUUCUUAAAAUGUUUUAGAGUCAAGACAUUUGUCAAAAACAAACACUUUCCUUCAGAACAUUUCCUGAAAAACCUUUUGCUAAAUUUUUUUCAGACCAACGCUAAUUACAACACUCCCUUUGGUCUUUGUUGUCUAUUUAGACUGUAAACGCUUUGGGACAGGGAUGGCUCGCACUAUGGGGUUGUACAAUCCCUGGCACAACGGGGCCCCAAUCUCAGCUGGGUAUAUCCAGGUGGUAUUUUAAGAAUAGUGACGACUCAGGACUGGGGUGACCAGAUGUCCCCAUUUUAUAGGGACGGUCCCAAUUUUUUGGUAUUUUUUUUUACAGGCUGCUAUGACCCCCCCGCCACCCCCCGUCCCGAUUUUUCACAUUUGCUGUCUGAUCACCCGACUCAGGACAGAGGCGGGUUUGUGGUAUCUCAGCUAAAUCUGGAUCCUUUUUAGUUAUAGUUAAUUUCUAGCCCUGUGGUGUGAAUAAUAUACUCACCCAAAGACAAUCUGGUUUGGCAGAUUGGAUCAGUGUGUUUGUCACCUCUGCACUGGAAGCAUUUAGCGCCGUAUCUAGCACAUUGCUUUCAGACUCUCUCUUUUUUUGACUUAAUCCAUGCAAAACAAAGUAAAAUUUUAACCAAAGUGACCUGCUUAAGGCCUUAUAUAACCCUCCGAGGGAUAUAUAAACCCCACCUGCUUUUCCAGCAGGUGAAAUGCAAGGAUCAACGUGGAAUUAAGCUUGGUAAAACCAUUCCUUUAUGCGUCUACCGUUCAUAGAAAAGAUGUGUGGAGUUUUCCCGCAGCUGACAGGAAACUAGGAAUGGUUGCAUGGGAAUUUUUGCAACAAAGGAGAAGCAACGGGGUAGCACACUCGGUUAUUUAGGGAGAAUAUAACUCAAUGCUUCUUCUUUGGAAACUACACCCUCAAGAAUCCAUGGACACUAUUUGCCAAAAGCUGACUUUUUGUAAGAAGUGCUGCGCUUUAUGACUGUCUUUGAAGUUGUGAAGUGGAAUACAAGCUGGAUUCAAAUUAACGUCUUUCUGUGUAGAUAUUUUCAUCGCACAACGUUUAAUUUUUACAAGUAAUCGACCUAUUCAGGUAACGACCGUUAUUUGGGCCCCAUUGUUUUUGCUUAACCCAGACACUUAGUGCUGAAUCUUCCAAUCCGGCACCAUGAGUUUUGCCGAACUCUUAGACCACGUUGGGGGGAUGGGUCGCUUCCAAAUCAUCUAUGCGAUCUUACUGGCUAUCCCAGUUUUCAUGCUGGCCAGCCAUAACCUCAUGCAGAACUUCACUGCUGCCACCUCUGAGCACCACUGCCAUGUCCAUAUCAACAUCAACAACACUCCUUACACCAACCUCACCGGAAAGCUCGCUGCCAAAGACCUCCUCAGGGUCUCCAUCCCCAUGGACAGCAACCAGCAGCCAGAGAAGUGUCACCGCUUUGUCACCACGCAGUGGCAGCUCCUAGACUCCAACGCCACAGUCACAAACCUAACCGAGCUGGAGACUGAACCCUGCGCUGAUGGGUGGGUGUACGACAAGAGCAUUUUCACCAGCACCAUCGUUACAGAGUGGGACCUGGUGUGUGACUCCUGCCAGCUGAAGCAGAUGGCUCAGUCCAUCUACAUGGCUGGGACCCUGGUGGGAGGUAUCAUCUUUGGAGAUCUGUCAGACAGGUUUGGCCGCAGGUCUCCCUUGAUCUGGUGCUACUUGCAGAUGGCUGUCACGGGCACCAGCACUGCCUUCUCGCUCAGCUUCACUGCCUACUGCAUCUUCCGUUUCCUGACCGGAAUGGCCUUCUCGGGCAUUGUGAUGAACGGUGUCUCUCUGUCUGUGGAAUGGACACCCACCCGCACACGGGCCGUUGUGGUCACCAUGUUUGGAUACUGCUACACAAUUGGGCAGUGCAUUCUGGCUGGGGUGGCUUACGCCAUCCCCAGUUGGCGCUGGCUGCAGCUUGUGGUGUCUUUGCCCUAUUUCAUCUGCUUCAUCUACUCCUGGUGGUUCGCUGAGUCCGCCCGCUGGCUGGUAAUAGCCGGCAGACCCGACGAGGCAGUGAAGCAGCUCCAGAGAGUAGCCAGGAUAAACCGGAAGAAGGAAGAAGGAGACAGACUCAACAUAGAGGUCUUGAGAUCCAACAUGCAGAAAGAAACAGCCUCUGCAAAGAGCAGCCAUACCUUCUUCGACCUGGUGCGGACCCCUGUCGUACGCCGGAUCUCCUUCUGCCUCUGCUUUGUAUGGUUCUCCACCAGCUUUGCCUAUUAUGGGUUGGCCAUGGACCUGCAGAAUUUCGGUGUCAAUAUCUUCUUGAUCCAGCUGGUCUUUGGAGCUGUCGAUUUCGCAGCGAAGUUCAUCUCAGUCCUCACAAUCGGCUUCAUCGGGCGCCGGAUCACACAGACCUUGACCCUCAUCCUGGCUGGACUCUCUAUCCUAGCCAACAUCUUUGUCCCACAAGGUGGUUAUAUGGUGUCCUGGAUUUUCAGGGUUCGAUCCAGAAGUGUUCAAGCCUUUGUCCUACCAAAGGUCCAAAGCCUGGCUGACAUGGUCAGCUGCAGGGGAGAGAGAAGAGCCAGGAGAGCUGAUCCAUAAGGACUAAUGGGGCUCAAGCCCACGGAUAUGUCACAGGUGUGUUCUGUGGCUGAGGUACUGCAGGGUACAGAACCACCUGCUGCUGCCAGGGAUUGAAGCAGCUGACACGUGUUUACGACACCAGUUGCCCUGGCACUUCCCCAUGAAGCAACCUGAGAGAAAUAUUCAGUCUGAUCCAGGCUGGCCUGUUGCAAGAUGGUUGCGAAGUGGAUGAGCCGCAGUCUGGGUGGGGUGACAGACCCAGUUUCAGAAACAAAGCUAGAUCUGAAGGCCCUGCGCACCGUUCUGGCUGUUGUUGGAAAAGGCUGUCUUGCUGCCUCCUUUAACUGUGUCUACCUCUACACGAGUGAGCUGUACCCCACAGUGAUUAGGUA